rnacentral:tRNA from 1 species
GAAAUAUUGGUAGCUCAGUUGGAAGAGAGUUAGGCUAUAAAUCGAAAGGUGCGUGGUUCGAUCCCGGGAUGCGGCA